rnacentral:rRNA from 1 species
UACGGAGGGAGCUAGCGUUGUUCGGAAUUACUGGGCGUAAAGGGCGCGUAGGCGGUCCUAACAGUCAGAUGUGAAAUCCCCGGGCUUAACCUGGGAACUGCAUUUGAUACUUUAGGACUAGAGUGCGGUAGGGGAUGAUGGAAUUCCUAGUGUAGAGGUGAAAUUCGUAGAUAUUAGGAGGAACACCAGUGGCGAAGGCG